rnacentral:tRNA from 1 species
GAUUAUUUAGUUUAUAAAAAACGAAUGUUUUGAAAACAUUAAAAAGAAAAUAUUUUCUAAUAAUCG